rnacentral:rRNA from 1 species
AUUUAAACCCAUUUAAGGUAGUACCCCCCAGGAAAACCUAUAUAGUUUGGCGGCAUUUAAUCAUUAUAGAGGAACCUGUCUUUUAAUCGAUACUCCCCGAUAAAUUUUACUUCUAAUCAAAUUUUAUAUACCUCCGUCUUAAGAAUUAAUAUACAUGUAUUAUUCUAAAAAGAAACCCUAAUAAGUUAGGUAAAGGUGUAAACUAUUUAGAAGAUAAGAUGGGUUACACUAAAAUCUAUUUAAGGAAACCUUCCUAAAGCAAAGUAAUAAAAAGGAUUUAUUAGUAAACCCUGAAUAAUAUUCAAGACUGAACCUGAUAAAAAAUGUGC